rnacentral:rRNA from 1 species
UACGGGGGGGGCAAGCGUUGUUCGGAAUUACUGGGCGUAAAGGGCGCGUAGGCGGCCGUGCAAGUGGAAGGUGAAAUCCCUCGGCUCAACCGAGGAACUGCCUUUCAAACUGCUUGGCUUGAGUCCGGGAGAGGUGAGUGGAAUUCCCAGUGUAGCGGUGAAAUGCGUAGAUAUUGGGAGGAACACCAGUGGCGAAGGCGGCUCACUGGACCGGAACUGACGCUGAGGCGCGAAAGCGUGGGGAGCAAACGGG